rnacentral:tRNA from 1 species
GGCUUCAUAGCUCAGUUGGUAGAGCAUCGCACUGGUAUCGCAGAAGUCACAGGUUCAACUCCUGUUGAAGUCC